UCACACUUAAGUUAAUAUAAACUAUUAGCUUGUGGAGCUAUAAAUGCAUUUUUUUUUGCAGUGUGAA
rnacentral:tRNA from 1 species